GUUUCUAAGUAAGGUUUCUAUGUAUUUUUUAUUAAUAAAUUUUGAUAGUUUUGUAGUUUAGAGAUUUUGUAGAGUUUUUGAAAAUUUUAUGGUCCAUUGGUGGAAUCCUUAAGUGGGUUUCUAAAAAAUAAAAUAAAUUUUUUAAAAUUUUUUUGUUAAUAUUUUUAUUUGAACAAAUAUGAUUAUUAUUAGGAAUUAUAAAAUUUUAAACAUACAUGAUAUAAAAAGAAGAAGAAAAAAAAAACAUAUUAAAAUAGUCAUACACUUAAACAUAAAACAUAGACUUAAAACAAACACUAAGUCUGUUUUUCUGAUUUGAUGCAAUAUUAAGAGGAAAAACUGAACCUGAUUUUUCUGAUUUGAAUUCCAUUUUAUUUAUAACACAUUAACAAACUCUUGUUAACCACUCAUAAUGCUAAAACAUUAUAUAACCACCAUGUUUGAACUCUCCUUCUUCAUAACAUUAGAGAGACAGAGAAGAUUAAAGACUUGACACAUUUCAGAAGAAAGAAAGAAACAAACCAAAGCUCAUUGAUUAAGAACAACAAAACAUGCGACACACAAAACAAAUCUAGUGAUGUUGUUCAACAUUACAUAACACAUCUAAAAAUACACUAAUUUCGUAGACCAUAAACAUAAAUCAUAUAUGCUCAUUGAUUAAGAACAACAAAUCAUUAUCUGAAGCCUUAUGCAGAAGCAAGAUAUUUACCUUCUUUGAAAAAGGGGACCAACAAACCAAACAGCAGAUGGAUGAUCAACGACAUAAUGAACCAAGUUAUAUAUAUGAAUUAGAAACAGAGAUAGCCCCAAACCACUAGCACCAACAAAGUAAAACAAAUCAUGGUUCUGCUUGAUUAGUUCACUUAACCAAUGAUGACAAUCAAACAUUAGUAUCAUUGGUCGCUUGUGUUCCCAUACAUACAACAUCCGCUAUAAUUUCAGAGACACAUCCAAAGGAAAUCCAAUUCAGAAAUAUAACCGUUGUUCUGAUUAUGAUACAUCAAUCAUCAAUCAAUUUAUUGAACAACCUCGUCGUCGAUCAUCAUCCCGGCGGUUGAAAUUGCCUCCCAAUUUCAUGAUCGAUACGCCGGAAUUUGUAAUCGAAAGGGAUCGAUUCGAAUCGCCUAAUUUUCGUCGGAGAAACCAAAGAAAAGAAAAAGGAGAAACACGCCUCCCUUUUUUUUCUUUUGUCUAAAUUUUCACCCAAUAAUUUUUAGCCACGUCAGCG
rnacentral:lncRNA from 1 species